UACGAAGGGGGCUAGCGUUGUUCGGAAUUACUGGGCGUAAAGCGCGCGCAGGCGGCUUGGUAAGUUGGGGGUGAAAUCCCUGGGCUCAACCCAGGAAUGGCCUUCAAGACUGCUUGGCUGGAGGACGAGAGAGGUGAGUGGAAUUCCCAGUGUAGAGGUGAAAUUCGUAGAUAUUGGGAAGAACACCGGUGGCGAAGGCGGCUCACUGGCUCGUUUCUGACGCUGAGGCACGAAAGUGUGGGGAUCAAACAGG
rnacentral:rRNA from 1 species